rnacentral:misc_RNA from 1 species
AGUUGAAGCUCUUGAAGGAAAAAUACCUUGUAAUGAAUUAUGGAUUGCGGAAGGUAACAUUUCCCUACAAAAAAUAAUAUUUACGAAGUUUAAUUCUUAAAAAUCUGUUAUUAUUAUUACUUUUGUUUCUUUUUUAUCAGUGGAGAGUAUUUCUAAAAUUCAAAUACAUACGAAUGAAGCUUAAGAUAUUAAAAAAAAAAAAAAA